UGGUCUUCCGGCAUUUUCUCCUCCCAUUGGUGCCGGACGACAGUUCCCCUCUGGAGGUUUCUCAACCUUCAAAUUCGGCCGGGUCCUGUUGGGCCCGGCCUUUUU
rnacentral:sRNA from 1 species